GUUUGUUUACAUUAUAAGACAAUAAGAAAAAAUGGAGUAUAGAGUAAAUUCGACGGCAUAAUAAAAAUUAUAAAAUAGUUAGCCAUAUGCAGAAACGUCAUUAUGUUGUACUAGUGGUCCCUCGCGACUUCGCCCGCCUAUAUGUCGCGGACUUUUUUAUAGAACUUUUAAAGGAGAACAUCUUUGUCAUACAUGAACCAAUAAAAAAAAUCUCGAAAGAAAAGAAAAACCCGAUUUUGAAACAUUCUUCAUUGGUGCUACGCUCCUAUUGGUUUAAGCGUGAUGAUAGCCUAUAGUCUCCCUCCUGAGAGAUUUUUUCAAAUCGGACCAGUAGUUUCUGAGAUCAUCGCGUUCCAGUAAAAAAACAAAUUUUCUAUUUCAAGUAUGCGACAUGAAUAUGAUUUAUAUGUGUAUGACUUUUAAUCUCUAAUACGAUAGUUUUUUUUUUAAAUAGUAAUAUUUAUUAUAUAUCGAUUUAUUGCAUAAGUGUACUUUUUACACUUGUUAUUUCUACUUUACUGCAAGAAAAUGCAACAUGUAAGGUAUAAUUUGUCCACAAUUAUAAUUAUUAUUGUUGAUUGCACGACGAUUUCACCAAAGUUAACGAAAUUAUAAUGGGGCCCUAAAUGUAUUCAUAAAAUACAUCCAUGUACCCAAUUGUGACGUUUGUGCAUAGGCAAGUGAAUAAAUGCAAAGUAACGUUUAUCGUCCAAAAUGUAUCGAAGUUAUAUGUGUGCGUUGUGACUGUAUGCAAUGCUGUAUGCAAUUAUGGAAAGACUGCGCGAGGCUCUAGGGAUAAUAUAACAAUAUAUUUAAUUGAAUAAUUAUAUUAUGAAUAGAAGAAUAAAGUUAUAUUUACGCGUAGUUCUAAUAGAUGUCGACAUAGGACAUUUUAAUUGGCGUAGGGGCAGAAGUAACUUCUAUGCCAUAGAAAAUUAUAGUCCUGCAAACCUAUUUUUCAUACAGGAUUGCUGGUUAUAUCGGAGUUUUUGCUUACUUGUUUGAGACUAAGAAACUACGAAAAUCCUGAAAAAUGGCAUACAAAUAAAUUUACCGAAUCUGGGUAAAAUGUGGUUAAAAAAAGGUGAAAAAAUGUCCCUUUCGCCAAUUAAAACUUCCAAUGUCGACGUAAUAUUUUCAUGUAAUAAAUAAAUUGAAAAAAAUAUAUGUAAAUCAAAUUUAAUCCUGAUUUAAAAGAAACACCAUUAUUUUGGGGCCAAAACUGUAUAAAAGAAUCGAGUCCUACUGCGUAGAGUAGGGCCCUGCCAACUCUGUGACAUUGAAAUCGCUAUUGAAAAUGCCUUUUGUGACGCCACUAAAACUUUUUUUUGUUUCUUUCAAGUGGGCUCAGGUUUGUUUUCCGACGGGAAUGACUUAUAAUUUGGUGUGGAAGGAUGUCCCAGCCGCGGCCAUCGCAAAAAGAUUCACCGUCAGAACGCGGUUUCGUGUCGGAGUACGAUGCCGCAUUGAAAGCGAUCAGGGUUUAUGGGGUUUACAGCAAUACCCUUUCCACCUAAAAUGUUAUUCUAUCGUCAACUAAAAAUACCAGUCACAAUUGCCAAAAUUCGCACUUAUUUAUGGGUCCCGAUUUGAAUGUCACCGCGAGCAUGGGCCGAGGCUUAAAGCCAACUUAUUUUUGUGCCUUAAGCGAAAAGGCCUUGUAAAUAGUCAUCAUAGAUGAUUUAUCAGUUUGUGAUAAUAAAUAUUUGUUGUUGUGUUCUUAGUUUCUCGUUUUAUUUUUAAGUUGAAUACGCAGUAACCGCUACAUACAUUUCUCUCCCCAAUUUUGCGACACACACUUAAGUUUUCACCCAAAAAAAAGUGGUAAAAGAGUUUUCCAAACAAGCGUUGAUAAGCGGUCAAUUUCUAUUUUGAUUACAGUAAUAAUUGGGUAAAAGUAAUACGUGUUAUUUAGAAGAAAACAAUCCAAUUGAUCGCCACUAUUUUAUAUCCUUUAUAUUCAUGUAUUCUAACAUUUGGGGACAAGAAUGUAUGAAGUGUGAAAUUAAUUAUUAUCAAAUUUCUUGCAAGUAAACAUCUAGUCCUGUUUCUUGGUUACUGGACUGCUGUGAGUCGAAAUAUAUAUUUUCAAAGGCGUAUAUAAUCGUAAAACUUGUUUGUUGAAAAUUUAUCACUUUGGCGUGGAGGUGUCCAUAUAUACCUGCAUAUGCGUGGGGCUAUGAUAUGUAUUGUUUUACCGAUUCAAAAGAUCAAUAUGGAUUUAAAAAAAAAUUAUGUACGAAUGUAAAAAAAAUAAAAAAUACACAAUAAUGCUACAGAUAUUAAUUUAAAUUACAAUAAUAAUUUCGAGAGUUAAUGAGAUGUCUGUGAAUUUACUAAAGUUAAAAAAAAAGGUACGAAUGUAAAAUAAUUAAAAAUAUACAAUAAUGUAACAGAUACUAAUGUUCAGUACGAUAAAGAUGUCAAAAGUA